rnacentral:rRNA from 1 species
ACACGACUACAUUAGAUACCCCGGUAGUCCCAGCCCUAAACGAUGCGCGUUAGGUGUAUCGGUGACCACGAGUCACCGAGGUGCCGAAGGGAAACCGUGAAACGAGCCACCUGGGAAGUACGGCCGCAAGGCUGAAACUUAAAGGAAUUGGCGGGGGAGCACAACAACGGGUGGAGCUUGCGGUUUAAUUGGAUUCAACGCCGGAAAUCUUACCGGGACCGACAGCAACAUGAAGGCCAAGCUGAAGACUUUGCCGGAUUAGCUG